CAAUGAAGCACUCCCGCUCUCUUCAAAGGUGGAUGAGUGAGUGAGAAAUUGAAGCCGGCAACGUUUCGCGCCAAGGGCUCACUACACAGAGACGCCAUGGAGGAGAGCAACUAAAACCAACAAAGCUCAUUGAUUCGACACUUAAUUUUAAGGCCAAAUCUUGGAGUUUCUCGACCUUUUGGAUGUAGAGGGCGCUGUGAAAGAGCGCUGAUUGGUGGAGAGAAGCCGGUACAAUACAGAGAGUGGAAUGAAGAGUGUCUGCUUCAACAAGAUCAAACUCGUCCGUAGAUUUGGUAUCUACUCUACGCUGGAAGAGAGGAACAAGAGCUAGAGGGUACAGGCUCUCGCCGCCUGCGGGCCACUGGUUCACAGACCACGGGACCAAUGCUCUUUCAGAUCAGAGACGACCAUUACGCAAUGCUCGGCUUUGGCAAGGGGCUCAUUUUGCAAAGUCCAAGAAUCCCAGGCCCGUGAGGACAAAGCCCGCCAAAAGCGGUAGUGCUUGGUUGGUCUGGUGAGGUUUUGCUUCAUCUUCAACGGAUGAAUUCCUCGUUUUAGUGGUGCGCCUUUCUCCGAAGGUGCUCUCUUCCGGCGUCAUCAGACAGAUCUAGUAGGAAAUGCUCUCGAAAUCAAAAGGCUUCCCAUCCUUGUUGGCCUGCCCAAACACGAGUCGAGAAAGCCGCGGCCCGAUCAAGGUCAAGAUGUGCAACAGCACCAAACCAAGCGUCAUUUACGCUUCUGAUAGCUCCUUCAUCAAUUGAAUUUGCCUAUUGAAGCAACUGACCGAAUUGAAGAUAUCCAUGUUUGGCGAAGGCACUUUUUUUUGGUGCCUUCAGACCAUCAAUUUUUGCCCCAAUGACAACCUCAACCUCGCAGGAUCAAUCUAAUCCUAAUGAGGGUAGAUCUAUCAUUAUUUAUGAUUGCUGUCUGUAAUUUAGAUGUCAUUGAGUGUGAAUGCCUCGAGGUUGUGCCUGGUAGGAUAAAAAUAUUGUUUCUCACGCAACAA